AUAGGCAAUUCAAGAGGACGGAUGAUUAGUUUAGUUAUUAAAAGUGAUUAAUUAUAGAAUUAUGGUUAGAAUCUAGAAAAUCAGGAGAAAAUAUAUAGGUGCUGUAGAAGUUAGUUUAAAGGCCAGAUUGUGAUAGUCAUGAGUCAGGGUAAGCUUGGUGCUACUUCUUUCUUUGUUUAUUUCUUGGAUUUUGUUUUCUUUGUAAAAGAAGAGUUAUGGACAGUUUCUCAAAAAUAUAAAGUAAUAUUCUAGAAUGAAAUGAGAUUUGAUAUUAUGAAAAGAAGAAUUUGAUUUAUUGAAUAUUGAAUUAUACAAUGGUGAAUUGAAAGAGAAUAAUUGAAAAUAUUUGUGAAGAAUGAAUAUGAAUGGAAGGAUUGUAAUACAUUGAGUAUUGGAAAUUGAGAGUGAUUCAUCAAAAGGAGUUUGUAGAGUUUGGAAUUCUGUGAAGAAGUGUGUUGAGAAGGAUUAUUAGUGGUGAAAGAUUCUAAUGUUUGGAUUAUAGGAUGAUUAUGUACUAUCUUUUAGGAUAGUGCAGGAUUACACAUUAUUGUUAUCAAUGAUGGUGGAGUACUAUUAGGAAGUGGAAAAAUAUUGUGGUAUUCUUUGAUGUUUUCAUUAGUUUGGAGUAUAGUUAAUUGUGUGAUCCUAACAAGUAGAACUCAU
rnacentral:lncRNA from 1 species